GCGGGUGUAGUUCAGCGGCUAGAACGUCUCCUUGCCAUGGAGAAGGUCGCGGGUUCAAAUCCCGUCACCCGCUCCA
rnacentral:tRNA from 1 species